rnacentral:rRNA from 1 species
GAUGAACGCUGGCGGCGUGCUUAACACAUGCAAGUCGAACGGAAAGGCUCCUGCUUGCAGGGGUACUCGAGUGGCGAACGGGUGAGUAACGCGUGGGUGAUCUGCCCUGCACUUCGGGAUAAGCCUGGGAAACUGGGUCUAAUACCGGAUAGGACGAUGGUUUGGAUGCCAUUGUGGAAAGUUUUUCGGUGUGGGAUGAGCUCGCGGCCUAUCAGCUUGUUGGUGGGGUAAUGGCCUACCAAGGCGUCGACGGGUAGCCGGCCUGAGAGGGUGUACGGCCACAUUGGGACUGAGAUACGGCCCAGACUCCUACGGGAGGCAGCAGUGGGGAAUAUUGCACAAUGGGCGCAAGCCUGAUGCAGCGACGCCGCGUGGGGGAUGACGGCCUUCGGGUUGUAAACUCCUUUCGCUAGGGACGAAGCGUUUUGUGACGGUACCUGGAGAAGAAGCACCGGCUAACUACGUG